GACCCGCCCRGCCGGAAAUGCGGCCGGCCCUGCACGUGCCGCGGGAGCGAGGCGCGGCGCGAGACCCCUCCCUCGCGGCUUUCCCGCCCUUGCGGUGCCGCGCGCUCCCUGAGGGGAAAAGGCGGGACAAACUGGUCACAGAACCUCCCUCAGCGUGAGCCCCCCGAGCCCUCACGGCGCCGCUCAUUCUCCAGCGACCCAGCAGAACCUCCCUCAGCCUGAGCCCCCCGAGCCCUCACGGCGCCGAUCGUUCUCCAGCGACCCAGCAGAACCUCCCUCAGCCUGAGCCCCCCGCCGCCCUCACGGCGCCGAUCGUUCUCCAGCGACCCAGCCCGGAGCGGGACGUGCCCUCGGGAAGGAGUUUGCGGGGAUCAGUGCCGUGUGGAGACAGUGUGUUGUGCACCAGCACCACUCCUGCUGGCCUCUGCGGUGUGUUSGACAGAAGUGAACAUUUCUUCUGGGAAUGUGCUGAGAAAUGUGAGGAGCCUGCUCAGGAAGAAGCUGAUACCUUAACUUACUGCCUGAGUUCCGUGGUCUGCGGGCGGGGAGCGGCAGCAGGAGUCCMGGUAAGGAGUGGCGGGACUGGGAUGGCCUGGGAGCCUCGCCCGGGCGCGGUGCUUUGCCGGGGUCAGGUAGCUUGGCGGCGGCCGGGUGCCUCGGCGGAGACCGGGAGCUUUCCUGGAGCCGGGUCCCUUGGCUGGGGUUGAGGGAGUCCACGGCCCGGGCCGGUGAGGAGAGAAGCUGCCGCGGGCCGGGCAGGACGGUCCGGAGCGGAGGGSGAGCUGGGACUGGCCCAUCCCGCUGCUCGGGCCGGGGGCCGUGCCAUUCCCGGCGCGGGUCGGGCAGCGGCGGCCGUGGGGUUCCCGCGGCUCCGGGCGAGUCCCGGCGGCUCUAUGGGCUGGGGAGGGCAGCGGCUACUGCCGCCCGGGGCCUUCMCCGGAGGAGUUUGGGGGCGGCUGAGGGGGUUUCUUCUGGUGGAGGUUGGGGAUAGGCGGGAGGUGUUUGUCUGGGGGUCGAGGGCAUGGUCCUCGUUGAGGAGUUUGGGGCUUUGGAACGAGGAAUGUUCGCCUGAAACAGGUGUAUUCCUGCUUUCUCGGCUGGACUCUGUUCCCGGGUGGGGUGGGAGGUGUUGCAGCUGUUUUUCUGUUUGCAGGUGAAAUAAAUUUGAAUAAAGUGAUUCCCUACACCCGUUAGUGCUGCCCCACACAUACACAGGAGGGGACCUUCCGUGUAAUGAGGGUGCCUCCAUUCCCAAGUUCCCAAGCAGUUCCCGUAAACUGGAUAUGGGGUGGUGGGUGGGCAACAUUCCUUCCAGCCCCCUAUCACUACAUCACACAUGGGGUCACAAAUAGAGUUGCAGUGCUUGGUCUUAACUCUCAAGUGCCACGUUUUGGGUGCUUGAAAUAUGCUGAGUGGGUUUGGAGCUCAGAAGGAGACUAAGUCCUCCAUUUUCCACAGCUGAAAAGGGAGACUUAAGUCCUUUGCGUUUGGGGUUAAAAGCAACAACUAAGUCUUAUGUUUUCACCUUUUGAGAACAGAGACUAAGUGUUGCAGCUUUGGGCCUUGAACCCAASCUCUGGGGGUGAUUUUGGGUACCAAAAGCACAGCCCUAGGUUUGUGAAGCUCAAAAAAAMCCUAAGUCCUGCAUUUUCUUUUCUUGAACGUGCAAAUUAAGUCCUGCAUUUUCUGAGGUCAAAUGAAACACACUACCUCAGUGUUGUGCUUUUGGGGCUCAGAAGCAGAGGGUGGGCAAUGCUUUUCUGAAGCUCAGAAAAAAACUAAGUCCUGCAUUUUCUUUUCCUGAAAAUGCAUGCUAAGUUCAGUAUUUCUGGGACUCAGAAAAAUAACUAAGUCCCUCUUUUUGGAGACUUGAAAACAGCCAGCUCAGAAAAAUUACUAAGUCCCACUUCUUGAAUAUUUGGCAACAGCAGUUCAGCUGGUUGUUUUUCAGCCCCCAAACAGAGGAACUUCGGGUGGGAGGGCUGGGCAUGAGGACCCUCUCCGGAGGAGGGGGUCUGGGGGGAUGUGGACCCUCUCCGGAGGAGGGGGUCCGGGGGGAUGUGGACCCUCUCCGGAGGAGGGGGUCCGGGGGGAUGUGGACCCUCUCCGGAGGAGGGGGUCCGGUCACCCUGCUUUCCAAACUCAGGGACGCCGGCAUGCACCAGGCUGUUUUAAGGGUGUGAGAUAGUCUCAGGAGCGAAAAGCACUUUUCACCCCUUUUUCCCAUGUCCAACUGUUCAUUGUGUACAACAGUUAUUACUUAUAUUUAAUAAUGUUAUGACAGUUAAUAGUAAUAUGUAGUUGAUGACAGUGAGUGAUUUACAACUUGGCCAAAAGCCCAGCUAACUUCAAUUAGCUGGAGCUUUAAAUUGGGUKGUAACAAGAAGCAGCAUUUAUUAAGGCAGAGCUGAGAGCAGCUCAGAACCAGAUGAAUGGACUGAAGUGAAGCAGCCAUGAACUGGAGCAUCGCAGAGCUGGAACAAGCUGGAGCAGCCAUCAGCUGGAGCAUUGCAGAGCUGGAACAAGCUGGAGCAGCCAUCAAAGUAGAGCUCCUCAGCACUGGAACGAACUGCAGCAGCCAUCAAGUAGAGCACCUCAGAACUGGAAUGAAGAACACUCCAUAGCCAGAACUGGAGCAUCAACAAGCUGGACCAGGUAUCACCUGCAAGUGAAACAAAGAGAAGGAAUUGAAAUCACCUGGGUCCUCAAAUAUCCUGAGUAAUAAGUCUGCAGAGGGUCCAUCAGCAGGCGUUGUAUGAACCAGAAGCACCUGAUGUCCAUGGUGUUGGAAGAACCAGAAACACCUGGUGUCCAUCAGCUGGAAGAACCAGGAACACCUCCUGGUGUCCAGCGUGUCCAUCAGUUGGAGCUGUAACAGGUUUAUCUGAGGGAGAGCUGAGCUCACCUGUGGCUGGAGCAGGAACRUCUCGUGGCCAGAGCAGAAAUUGCUGCACCCUCAAGUCCAAGUCAGGCACGGGAGUGAAUGUCCAGAUCUGGAGCUCAGAGCAGCAGGGGUCCCCAGCUCUCCUGGGGUGGUAGUACAACAGCCACUCUCUCCUCUGUCCCUGCAAAAAGUCAAGAGUCACCAGAGUGCACCACACAACA